rnacentral:rRNA from 1 species
UACAGAGGUCUCAAGCGUUGUUCGGAUUCAUUGGGCGUAAAGGGUGUGUAGGUGGCGCCGUAAGUCGGGUGUGAAAUCUCGGGCUUAACUCCGAAACUGCAUUCGAUACUGCGGUGCUUGAGGACUGGAGAGGAGACUGGAAUUCAUGGUGUAGCAGUGAAAUGCGUAGAGAUCAUGAGGAAGACCAGUGGCGAAGGCGGGUCUCUGGACAGUUCCUGACACUGAGACACGAAGGCUAGGGGAGCAAACGGG